rnacentral:rRNA from 1 species
CGUAGGGGGCAAGCGUUGUCCGGAUUUAUUGGGCGUAAAGAGCGUGUAGGCGGCCCGACAGGUCCGUUGUGAAAACUCGAGGCUCAACCUCGAGACGUCGAUGGAAACCGUCGGGCUAGAGUCCGGAAGAGGAGAGUGGAAUUCCUGGUGUAGCGGUGAAAUGCGCAGAUAUCAGGAGGAACACCCGUGGCGAAAGCGGCUCUCUGGGACGGUACUGACGCUGAGACGCGAAAGCGUGGGGAGCGAACAGGAUUAGAUACCCUGGUAGUCCACGCCGUAAACGAUGGGUGCUAGGUGUGGGCGGUGUCGACUCCGUCCGUGCCGAAGCUAACGCAUUAAGCACCCCGCCUGGGGAGUACGGCCGCAAGGCUA